CUUUAGAAGGAGCAGCACUAAAGAGGACAGUAAAAGAACCUGCAAAUGAAAGCAAUAAAAGAACAGAGUAAAGUUUUGAAUUUCUGGCUUGACGACGAAGCCUCUACAGCCCUAUCCCUAUACGAGAGAGGAGUUGUAUAUUGACGAGGAAGGGGACAUCGCAGAAGAGUUCAGCUGAUAACCAGUAAAUCAGGAAAUCCACAAAAAGGAUGGCCUUUUCUGAAAUACAAAAUAUAGGAGCAAUUUUGCGCGACAUAGGCGACGAGACGAACCAGACAGCGCAGGCCAACGAAAAUGUUGCGGUUGUAAUCCUCUUUAUUUUUCUUACAUGGACACAUAACCAGCAGAGACAAGAAAGCUACGAGGGAGGCGCCAUUAAUCUGACCAAUCUUACGGUAUUGAUCAUGAACAAUUCAGAAGGACAAUGAAAUAUUUGCUCUUUCCAAAGAAAAAUUAUGUAUAUUGUUCAAGAAAACGAUGUCGGAAAUAAUACUUUGAUAGACAGUUAAAAGAGAAUACUUCCUAACAGCAGGUGGGAUAAUUAUCAAAGUCACGUGUUCUAAUGGAUACCAAGAGGCGAGCUCGUAAGGGCAAUUAUUAUGUUCGGUGGAAAUGCCAAGAAUUAUUGAGAAAAUAUGUAACAAAUUAAGUUAUAUAGAUUUUUAAAUUGGUUUAUCAUCUAGGAAUUACAAUUUUUUAGGUAGUUUAAAAUUUCCUAUAUUGGUAUAGAAAUGACUUUAGACUGUCAAACAAGAUUUGAUUGGAGAAAGAGGGGGCCAAUAGUUAUUAUUAUGCCAAUAUCACAGUCAAAAUAUAAUUUAUUAAUUCCAUCCAAAAUUUAUUUGAAUUAAGUAUUGAAGUUUAUUUGUAAAUACAAUUUCACCGUGAACGAACUCGCGGUCUAAUGAAGAAGAUUAACAUUCUAGAUUGUCAUGAAAGUUGGUUUAUACUAAGUAAGUUUUAACAUAGCAUUGUAGGUAAGAUCAGCAGAAUUUUAGGACAAUAGAAACGAAAAAAAUCAAUGCUUCUUUCCUCUUGUUC